UAACAAGGAUUCCCCUAGUAACUGCGAGUGAAGCGGGAAGAGCUCAAAUUUAAAAUCUGGCAGUCUUCGAUUGUCCGAGUUGUAAUUUAGAGAAGUGUUAUCCGCGCUGGACCGUGUAUAAGUCUCCUGGAAGGGAGCAUCAUAGAGGGUGAGAAUCCCGUCUUUGACACGGACUACCAGGGCUUUGUGAUGCGCUCUCGAAGAGUCGAGUUGUUUGGGAAUGCAGCUCUAAAUGGGUGGUAAAUUCCAUCUAAAGCUAAAUAUUGGCGAGAGACCGAUAGCGAACAAGUACCGUGAGGGAAAGAUGAAAAGAACUUUGGAAAGAGAGUUAAACAGUACGUGAAAUUGCUGAAAGGGAAACGCUUGAAGUCAGUCGCGUUGGCUGGGGAUCAACCUUUCUUCUGAUUGGUGUACUUCCUAGUCGACGGGUCAACAUCAGUUUUGACCGUUGGAUAAAGGUUAGGGGAAUGUGGCAUCCUCGGAUGUGUUAUAGCCUCUGAUUGUAUACAAUGGUUGGGACUGAGGAACUCAGCACGCCGCAAGGCCGGGUUUUUAACCACGUACGUGCUUAGGAUGUUGGCAUAAUGGCUUUAAUCGAC
rnacentral:rRNA from 1 species